rnacentral:rRNA from 1 species
UACGGGGGGUGCAAGCGUUAUCCGGAUUUACUGGGUUUAAAGGGUGUGUAGGCGGGCUUUUAAGUCAGUGGUGAAAUCUCCGGGCUCAACCUGGAAACUGCCAUUGAUACUAUUAGUCUUGAAUUCUGUUGAGGUAGGCGGAAUAAGUCAUGUAGCGGUGAAAUGCUUAGAUAUGACUUAGAACACCAAUUGCGAAGGCAGCUUACUAAACAGAUAUUGACGCUGAGGCACGAAAGCGUGGGGAUCAAACAGG